rnacentral:lncRNA from 1 species
AAAAUGGAUCCAUGAAAAGGAGGCUCUAACUCAAGAGGAACACAAAGGGAAUCCCCAACAUGCUGAAGAAAAAAAAAAUCCAGGAUGACCAUUCUGUUGCAGCCCAGAAUGGAGCAGAUUAUUAAAAGAUAACUGGUGCUGUCUUCCCAGCUUCAGACUCCGUCUCAAGAAUAAGGAAGCAGAGAAGUUACCGUCAGCCAAGUCUCAACUAAACAUGGACCCAACUUCAUACAAGCAAAUGGCAUUCCACAUUCACCAAGCACCCUCCUUGGGCUAGGCACUGCAUCAUAUGGGAGGCGAGAGAAAGGGACAGCAGCUUGGCCCAAGCUGGCCACGUGGCGCAAUGCUGAAGGCUCUUCCCUUCCUCCAUCCUUCCUGGUUUCCCACACUGAUAGGGAGCAAAAUUCGUCUCUCCAGUUCUCCCGUUUCUUCCUCCCUCCUCCUCACCCUCCUCGUUAGUUAGGAGCUGCGACGCCUGGCUCUGGGGAGGUGCUGGCACUGAGUGUUUUACAGCUCUUUAAUUCUGCCUUAUUAUCCUCUGUUCCUACAACCAAGGUCUUUGACUGCUGCUUUCAUUGUGUUGUCAGGUUUCUCUUUGAUGCCUAAAUUAAUACUAAUGGGAAGCCCUCUCAGCUGUUUGCUUACUUUUCCUUCUGCUCAGUUUCUCCCAGUUGAAUAUUCCCCAGUCCGUGCUGUGCACUGAUCUGUCAGCCCUUUCUCGGAUCCACUUUAAAAGAAGCCUGAGUAUCUUACACACGGUUAGCCACUCUCGAGCGGGGUAAUUCAGACGGUGAGUAGGGAAGAAGAUUGUAUGGAAAUCUGCCUGUUUUCCCAUCCGGUCGCCGCCCGCUUGAAACUGCAGAGCAUUGGCUCAGCUUCUUCGUCACUUGGGCGGAAUGAUUCUGCCCCACACACUUGUUAGUGUUUCUUAUUCGACGAUUCUUCUAGGGGCCAAUCCCUGCCAUUUGCGGGGCUCACGAAAGGCUCUCCUGCCCCCACUUUCUUUCAUGGCCUGUUAAUAUCUAAUAUUUCAGCUCUUCAGAAGUUGUUCCUAUAGGUUUUUUCAGGGUCGAACCAAAGGAAGAAUCACAAACAACUCUGAGAGGUUUUGCAUACUAAAGCAAUGAUUAUUAGUACCCAUUUGAACUGGGGACAGAUAGCUGACAGCAAGACUGAGACAGAGAGUUCUCAGGCUAGGGUGAGUGGGUGAGGAACCACAUACCUCUUCCCAACUUUGCCUAGGAGCAGCUGUGAUUUUAAGGAAAAAGAAAUGUUAGCCACCUUCCCCUCCCAAGAUCAUUUAUCCUGGUUUCUUUCCCACCCUAAGCAGCCAAUAUUCAACAAAUAUUUAUCAAGAGCAUAGGCCAGGUGGGGUGGCUCACGCCUGUAAUCCCAGCACUUUGGGAGGCCGAGGCGGGCGGAUCACCUGAGGUCGGGAGUUGGAGACCAGCCUGACCAACAUGGUCUACUAAAAAUACAAAAUUAGCUGGGCGUGGUGGUGCAUGCCUGUAAUCCCAGCUACUCAAGAGGCUGAGGCAGGAGAAUGGCUUGAACCCAGGAGGCAGAAGUUGCAGUGAGCCAAGAUGGUGCCAUUGCACUCCAGCCUGGGCAACAAGAGUGAAACUCCAUCUAAACAAACAAAAACAAAACAAAAUAAAAAAGCCUAAAGUUCUGGCCAGAGUACAAACAGAAAGAAGUAGAACAUAAAGAUAAAAGUCAAUUGGUCACCAAUCUUAAAUACCUUCUAGGUUCAGAAUACAAGCCACCACAGAGACCUACAAAGAACACAAACAUACAGGUCUUGUCUUUAAAAACUUAUAGUUUAGGGCCAGGCAUGGUGACUCACACCUGUAGUCCCAGUACUUUGGGAGGCUAAGGUAGGAGGAUCGCUUGAGCCCAGGAGUUCAAGACCAGCCUGGGCAACAUAGUGAGAUCCUGUCUCUACCAAAAAUUAAAACAUUAGCUGGGCAUAGUUGCAUGUACCUGCAGUCCCAACUACUUGGGAGGCUGAGGCAGGAAGAUUUCUUGAGCCUAGAAGUUCAAGGCUACAGUGAGCCAUGACUAUACCACUACACUCUAGCCUGGGUGACAGAGUGAGACCCUGUCUCUCAAAAAAAAACUUACAAUCUAAGGUACAAAGAGACACACACAUAGUUGGGGGGGGCGGGAUUUGCAAGCAAUACCUUCAUACGUUAUACGUAUACACCCAUAUAUAGCAAUACAAAUUUUAUAUAUCUAUUCUCCCCAUAUGUGUCUCUUCAACCCUUAGACUAUAAAAUCUUAUACAUAUACAUACACAUAAUGCUCAAUUCAUAGAAACAAGUAAAGCUGCUCCUCAACUUACAAUGCAGUUACAUCCUGAUAAACCCAUCAUAGGUUGAAAAUCUCAUAAGUCAAAAGUGCUUUUUCAAUUUAUAUUUUCAAUUUACAAUGGAUUUAUCCAGACGUAGCCCCAUCAUUAAGCCAAGAUUGCAUAUGGCUUUUGCACCACUGCAAAGUUGAAAAAUUGUAAGUUGAACCAUGGUAAGUCAAGGACCAUGUGUACAAAUUAAUAACCUCUCAUUGCUGAACAGGCAAAGUCUGAAUCCCAUGGGCUAGAGGAGCUACCCACUACGCCAUUCCCCUCUUAGUUUUCUUUAAUAGCCUCAACUCAGGAAAUUUUUCUCCUUUUCUUCGUUUUGUUAUUGCUUCUCCUCCAUCUCUUCCAUUGUUUCCUCUUAUACUCCUCACAGUCUCAUAUUAGCCAUCCAGGAUUUAUUCACUAAUGCUUUUUUCUUUUCCCCACUAUUUUCCUCCCUUUGGUUGGUUGGUUGACUUUUUCUUUUUCCUUUAAGAGUAUUUUUUUCUACUUGGUCUUCCAAAUUAUUAACUUGAAUUUCUCAAAUCAUAGCCUUUAAUUGCAAAGUCUUCUUUGAACUGUCCUUGAAUUCCCUUAAGUCACCUUAUUUUCCUUAAUUAAAGUUGACAAAUAUCUCCCAGGCUGCUCCACUUUAUUCAGAUUGUUCUCUUUGAUCUUCACUUACUUGGCUGAAGGGUGUUCUUGUAUGUGUUGUUAUUGUUACUUGCCUGCUUUUAGGGGCCUCACCCAGUUGUUAGAAUCGCCAUGGAGCCCAAGUUUUUAAUUGCUCUGAGCUGCCUGCCAGCCCCCCAACUGCUGGGCUCAGGACAGACAACAAGUUUAGAGCUGGGAAUGGAGGGGGAGUGGGAUGGAGUCAGGUUGCCAUCUGCCUCAAAUCCCUGAGAAACCUUUGGGAAUUGAGCAUUUAAAUCACACUCCACUGUAUUUUCAAGAAUCCCACAUUUAGAGUCAAUGACCUGGAUUCCAGUGUGGUGUCUUAUUCACCAUCUGAGUGAUCUUGAGCACGUAUAAUGUGAGGUUCCUCUUCCUCGAGCAAAAAUUGAGGAUUUGCAAUAUUGCCCUCCAUGCCUCCCCAGGAUUUGUUGUGAGGAUCAAGUAAAACGAUACCUCAGUGCCAAACACUGGUGUGUUUAUGGUGGCUAUGGUUCCUAAUCCUAGCUUCUAUUCUUUCUUUGGCUAAAGUAAUAGAAAUGGAAAAAGAAUGCACAUGAAAAAAAAAUUGUGAAAUAUAUACAGUUGCUAGAGCCCAACAGAGAAAUGCCUACAAACAGAACAAUUCUAGAAGAUUUUCAAGAAAACUAUACAUUUAUUGUUUAACCCAGACUACAGAUAGGGAGAAGGAAGAAGGGCCACUGCAAACACACACCAGUGCCUGCUCCCUGGCUAACUACCAAGCAGGAGUGGAGAGAGCAAGAGAGGAAGAGGAGGUAGGGGAGAGGAGAGGAAGUGAUUAAGCACAGCAGUUUGAGAUCAGAGAGACAUGCUGGAGACCCCCUUCACCAGUCUCCAAUGACAAAAUGAAAACUUUAGUCAAAAUCAGUUUAACAAAGUGUAUUUGUUAAAUUUUAUUUGAUCAAAGAGCGAUUCACGAAGAGGCAGCACUCAGGACCAGAAGAGGUUCAGAGAACUCUACUCCAAACUGUGGGCAUUGAGUACUCACAGGCAGGAAAAGGCUGAAGAGAGCAGAAACAAAGAACACCAAGUGGAUCUGUCAUUUCAAAGUUACUUUCCUGAAACACACAGAUACAUAAGAAAAUGGCUUAAAUGAAAAAACAGACCACUCCAAGGGAGGAAAAGGAUGGAGGUGACACUGUGGAGGACAUGGGAGAAGAAGAUCAUGGGGAAGAAGAUGGCUCCACAGGCUUUUCUCCAUGGAUUUUAGAAACACCCUCUAAAGCUCCUCCUUUGAGAACUGUUAGAAGCCUGGAAGAUGAGGGAAAGGAAUAGUGCAGGGAGGAGGCUGCUGACAUAGCAGACUGCAUUUCCUUGGGCUUCAGCUCCUUGAUGCUUUUUGGUGGUCAAGAUUGAGGGCUUACCUUUGAGAAGCAGCUGCGGUUGCUACCCAGGUGAACCAAGAACGAGGGAUCGGGUCCACUGCUGUCUCCCAGAAGCUCAGACAUGCCUGGAGCACAGAAAUAGUGGUAAAUGUUUUGAUAUAUGAUGGAGCAACUCAAGGAUUCCACAUCAUUAAUUUGGGAAGACUGAAAAAUAACUUCCGUGUUAUUUUAGCUGAACCAACCAACCAGAAACCCCCACGGCCCUAGCUCAACUGACCCAUGCAUAUAUACCCAUGUACUCUCAUGUAUAUCUACACAAUCAUCAAUAUGAGAAAAGGGCAAAGUAAGAGCCUCUGGACUUUUCCAGAUUGUUCUGCUGCCCCUUUGCAGAAGAUAUAAGAUGACAACAAUUAUUUUGGGGGUAUUGAGAUUCUGAACAUCUAUUUCAUUUCCAACAACAAGUCAAUGUCUUUGCUGAGUGCUAUUCUCUCGAUGGCCUCACUUCUACUAACCCUUGUGUCUGCUGUGAUGCAGACACCCCUCUGCAAACCCAACAGUGAAAACAUAUGGCACUGUGGGUAUUGAGCUGGACAGGACUUAAUUCCUUUUCCAUUCCCUUAGCUAGCACCGGUGCAUUUACUCCCUGAUAGAGUGCUCUAGAAGAUUAGCAACGGCAUUCAUUUUCCGCUAACUGCACACAAACACUGUGAGCCGACUCGGGCUUACUGAUGCCUCAGACAAUGCUGUUUUCCAAGUUUGCUUUUCAUUCUUCUAUGUCUUUUCUUGUGCCAUUUGACCCAGUAUUUCAACUCCGUAGAAAACUAACUUUGGGAUUCUUUUCGUUUAUAUUCAGAUUCUCUUGUCUCCCAUUUUGGGCAGAAUCUUACUAAUAAAUGCUUAAACAGCAACUCCACAAUUAUGAGUGGGUUUUCAUUACCAGACUAAACACCAACUAACUAGUUAUAUAAGUAGUCCUUGACUGGCUUAAUAAAAAUGUAUUUUACUGUUAAGAACAAAUAAUAGAAGGGAAAAUCUUUGUGACAGAGCCUUAAUGCCAAUGAGAAAGGGUUAAGGAUAUUAUAUUUUUGAGUGCAUCAGUAACUUUUUGAGAACAGCAUCCUAAAGGAUGAUGAUCACCUUUUCUACAAAUUAUCGUUCCGUCCUAUUUUCUGGAAAAAAAUCCUGAGAUGGGUGGAUCAUAAGUCUCACUUCAAAUGGCCUCUGAUGUGAUUGUUUUUAAGAAAGAACACAGAUGUGUAUAUAGGCUUGAUGUCCC